ensembl:snRNA U6 U6 spliceosomal RNA
AUGGCUCACUUAGGCAGCAUAUAUACUAAAAUUGGAAUGAUACUGAGAUUAGUGUGGCCCUUGUACAAGGAUGACAAGCAAAUCCAUGAAGCAUUCCAUAUUUCU